ensembl:lncRNA
CGAUUUUCCGGAACAGUUGACGCAGUUUCGCUCCCUGCCGCUGGUAGCAGGGCAGUCACUUUCAAACAUUUACAGGAGUAAAGUCGAGCUUCUUCCGCUUUACAGCAGAUUAACGUCGAGUUUUCUCUCUGUUCCGGGCGCUGGCUCGCCGGAGAUGUCAUCUGCUUGAUCCGACGCCUGAGAUGGUCCGAUUGGGCUGGUCUUAACCCUGCUGGCAUGAAUCCACUGAGGUUGUCCGUCUGUGAGGAUGCUGGUUCUUCGUCACUGCCAGUACAGUCUGGGGGCUGGAACACGCGCGGCCUCCCAGAGAGUCCUUGGUUUUAGUGGCUUCUCCAACAUGCAUCUCCUUGUCUCCACUGGUGGAACUGUGGAGGGGAAAAGCUGAGAGAGACAAACUUUCUGAUAGUUAUUAUUCAGUUUUUCUACCAGGUUGUGAACAUCAGUGGACAAUGCAAUAUACAUCACCUUCUACUAGCGGUGCCCCUCUGGAAGCUGACCAUGGUCUUGGAAAUAGUCUUAUUUCAAAUGGAAAUAAUUUGGUUACUGCAGAUUGAGUCAUUCUAAUCUCACACAGGACUUGAGUAAGUAAUUUGACCCAGGUCAUUAAAGUUUUAGCACAUUUUUUAAUUACUUCUCAUGUGAAUGAAGAUCCUCUAUCACUGUUAAUUUGGUGAGGUAUUCCGAAUCUGGGUAUUAUUUCAUUGCUCAACUUUUGACAGACUACUUCUGCAGUUUCUUUUGAGGUUGGAUAAGCUUCUACUCAUUUACUAAAUUGAUCCACUAUUACCACUCAAAGCAGUCUGGCCAUUCUUCUCUGACCUCUAUAAUAAACAAGUAGUGGCCGGGCUGGAGAGGAGAAAAGCUGCUGGAGCAGAGCACUGGUGCAGAUCUGGAGCCGAAGAAGUGUGCGCUGGAAAGUGCAAAAAGUGAUAUUGUAGCAAAUAAACAAAG